UACGUAGGGUGCAGGCGUUAAUCGGAAUUACUGGGCGUAAAGCGUGCGCAGGCGGUUUGCUAAGACAGGUGUGAAAUCCCCCGGGCUUAACCUGGGAACUGCGCUUGUAACUGGCAAGCUGGAGUGUGGCAGAGGGGGGUGGAAUUCCACGUGUAGCAGUGAAAUGCGUAGAGAUGUGGAGGAACACCGAUGGCGAAGGCAGCCCCCCUGGGCUAACACUGACGCUCAUGCACGAAAGCGUGGGGAGCAAACAGGA
rnacentral:rRNA from 1 species